rnacentral:lncRNA from 1 species
UCGUGACUUCGUCCCUUCGCACUAUCCAUCACUGCCUGUCUUUCCCCUUCCCAUCUUCGACGGCACGUCCUCCUGGAGCCGGUCAGACUUGCUCCCAUCUCCGACCGACUCUACGUUCUCCUCCGGCUCCGAGUUUUGAUCUCCGUUGGAUCGUUGUAGUCUUGCAGACUAGCAGGCAACGCCUGCGCAUGACAGCAGCUUCGCCAAUCGCUCAUUAAAUUGUAACAGAAGAAGGUGAUUUUGAUUUUUGAAUCGGUUGGGUAGCCAGCAGAAUUAAAAGGUUAAAGCCCCAAUUUCCACCAGUGACUUUGAAUUUUUUUUCCUAUUUUUGUUAUUUUGAUUUGUGUAAAUUGUAAUAAUAUUUUUUUUGUUCUUAGCAUGCGAAAUUAGCGCUUUAUUCUUUAAUUGCUCAAAGCAGCACUUCGUACACGUUGCUCUUCAAUUGAUUUUGGCACAGACUUCCAGUGGACCAGUUCAUUGUUGCAUCUGACUCUCUACAAAUAUGCGAUUGUAAGUUGCUUACACUGUCACUUGGAAGUUGAAACUUGGAAAAUAGUAUAUAUUGCAUUGUAAAGUUGUGAAUUGCACUGGAUUGAUAGUAUAUAUUGCACUGUGAUUGUGAAUUCAUUAUUUGAAAGUGUGAAUUGGAAUGUAAAUUGAUUAUGUGAAGUAGUGAAUUGCACUGGAUCAUUAAAUCUAUGACCAAAACCUCAACGUCCGGCGUUGAAAAUUU